rnacentral:rRNA from 1 species
UACGUAGGGGGCGAGCGUUGUCCGGAAUGACUGGGCGUAAAGGGCGCGUAGGCGGCGAGAUAAGUUUGGAGUGAAAGUCCUGCUUUCAAGGUGGGAAUUGCUUUGAAAACUGUCUGGCUUGAGUGUGGGAGAGGAUAGCGGAAUUCCCGGUGUAGCGGUGAAAUGCGUAGAUAUCGGAAGGAACACCUGUGGCGAAAGCGGCUCACUGGACCAUAACUGACGCUGAGGCACGAAAGCUAGGGGAGCAAACAGG